ensembl:misc_RNA 7SK 7SK RNA
GGAUAUGAGGGCGAUCUGGCUGCGACAUCUGUCACCCCAUUGAUCGCCAGGGUUGAUUCGGCUGAUCUGGCUGGCUAGGCGGGUGUCUCCUUCCUCCCUCACCACUCCAUGUGAGUCCCUCCUGAAGUUGUGCACUCGGUCGAAGAGGACGACCUUCCCCGAAUAGAGGAGGACCGGUCUUCGGUCAAGGGUAUACGAGUAGCUGCGCUCCCCUGCUAGAAUCUCCAAACAAGCUCUCAAAUUCAUGGCCUUUUUCUUUGUUAUAUAUUCCUAGACACAUAAAUAUAGCUUUCCCAGGAAUGUUACUUGUAUGUAUGUAUGU